GACGAACGCUGGCGGUGUGCUUAACACAUGCAAGUCGAACGGUAAGGCCCUUUCGGGGGUACACGAGUGGCGAACGGGCGAGUAACACGUGAGUAACCUGCCCUCAUCUCUGGGAUAACAGUCGGAAACGGUUGCUAAUACUGGAUAUGAGCUUGCAAGGCAUCUUGUGGGUUGGAAAGAUUUUUUUGGUUGGGGAUGGACUCGCGGCCUAUCAGCUUGUUGGUGAGGUAGUGGCUCACCAAGGCUUCGACGGGUAGCCGGCCUGAGAGGGCGACCGGCCACAUUGGGACUGAGAUACGGCCCAAGCUCCUACGGGAGGCAGCAGUGGGGAAUAUUGCACAAUGGGCGGAAGUCUGAUGCAGCAACGCCGCGUGCGGGAUGACGGCCUUCGGGUUGUAAACCGCUUUCAAUUGUGACGAAGCUUUUUGUGACGGUAGCAGUAGAAGAAGCACCGGCUAACUACGUG
rnacentral:rRNA from 1 species